rnacentral:ncRNA from 1 species
AAAAAUCUUACUAUUAUAUUUGUAACAAAUUUUAUACAUAAGAUAAAUUCGUAUGUAUAGCCGUUCUGCUCGAAACGGUGUAGCAUUGGAAGCGUUCCAUGGUACUAUGAAUUGUAGCGGGGGAGAGUCGCCCCAUAACAGGCUUGGAGGUACUCUGUGCGGGUACUUUGUUAACGCUAAAAGUAGAAAGUAAGCUACUGCGGGACUUCUAGGGCGGAGUUUAGAAGAGUAGGCGAAUUAGUCUGCGACAAAGUAAGU